rnacentral:rRNA from 1 species
CCUACGGGCGGUAGCAGUGAGGAAUAUUGGUCAAUGGGCGCGAGCCUGAACCAGCCAAGUAGCGUGAAGGAUGACUGCCCUACGGGUUGUAAACUUCUUUUAUAAAGGAAUAAAGUGAGGCACGUGUGCCUUUUUGUAUGUACUUUAUGAAUAAGGAUCGGCUAACUCCGUGCCAGCAGCCGCGGUAAUACGGAGGAUCCGAGCGUUAUCCGGAUUUAUUGGGUUUAAAGGGAGCGUAGAUGGGUUGUUAAGUCAGUUGUGAAAGUUUGCGGCUCAACCGUGAAAUUGCCAUUGAUACUGGCAGCCUUGAGUACAGUUGAGGUAGGCGGAAUGCGUGGUGUAGAGGUGAAAUGCAUAGAUAUCACGAAGAACUCCGAUUGCGAAGGCAGCAUACUAAACUGCCACUGACAUUGAUGCUCGAAAGUGUGGGUAUCAAACAGGAUUAGAUACCCUAGUAGUC